rnacentral:rRNA from 1 species
AGUGAACGCUGGCGGUAGGCCUAACACAUGCAAGUCGAACGGCAGCACAGUAAGAGCUUGCUCUUACGGGUGGCGAGUGGCGGACGGGUGAGGAAUACAUCGGAAUCUACUUUUUCGUGGGGGAUAACGUAGGGAAACUUACGCUAAUACCGCAUACGACCUACGGGUGAAAGCAGGGGAUCUUCGGACCUUGCGCGAUUGAAUGAGCCGAUGUCGGAUUAGCUAGUUGGCGGGGUAAAGGCCCACCAAGGCGACGAUCCGUAGCUGGUCUGAGAGGAUGAUCAGCCACACUGGAACUGAGACACGGUCCAGACUCCUACGGGAGGCAGCAGUGGGGAAUAUUGGACAAUGGGCGGAAGGCUGAUCCAGCCAUACCGCGUGGGUGAAGAAGGCCUGCGGGUUGUAAAGCCCUUUUGUUGGGAAAGAAAAGCAGCAGGUUAAUACCCCGCUGUUCUGACGGUACCCAAAGAAUAAGCACCGGCUAACUUCGUG